UCGGGAAUUUUGGGCAAUGGGCGCAAGCCUGAUCCAGCCAUGCCGCGUGGAUGAUGAAGGCCUUAGGGUUGUAAAAUCCUUUCGUUGGGGACGAUAAUGACGGUACCCAAAGAAGAAGCUCCGGCUAACUUCGUGCCAGCAGCCGCGGUAAUACGAAGGGGGCUAGCGUUGUUCGGAUUUACUGGGCGUAAAGCGCGUGUAGGCGGGUCGUUAAGUUGGGGGUGAAAUCCCGAGGCUCAACCUCGGAACUGCCUUCAAAACUGGCGACCUGGACUCAAGUAGAGGCAAGUGGAAUUGCGAGUGUAGAGGUGAAAUUCGUAGAUAUUCGCAGGAACACCAGUGGCGAAGGCGACUUGCUGGACUUGUAGUGACGCUGAGACGCGAAAGCGUGGGGAGCAAACAGGAUUAGAUACCCGGGUAGUCCCUGAGCGGGCUGGCAAGGCGCAU
rnacentral:rRNA from 1 species